rnacentral:rRNA from 1 species
UACGUAGGGCGCAAGCGUUAUCCGGAAUUAUUGGGCGUAAAGAGCUCGUAGGCGGUUUGUCGCGUCUGCCGUGAAAGUCCGGGGCUCAACUCCGGAUCUGCGGUGGGUACGGGCAGACUAGAGUGAUGUAGGGGGAGACUGGAAUUCCUGGUGUAGCGGUGAAAAUGCGCAGAUAUCAGGAGGAACACCGAUGGCGAAGGCAGGUCUCUGGGCAUUUAACUGACGCUGAGGAGCGAAAAGCAUGGGGGGAGCAAAACAGG